ACGCCUUUGAAGCCUGUGUAUGUUGGAAACUGCCGCCAGAACCCCUGUCUUCUUGGUUUGGAUUCCGGUAUUUGCGCGUCGAAAUUAAGGUUGUUAUUGAACCACCGGAGCUUCGGGGAGUGCCGGAGCUGCCGCCUGAUCGGUUCAGAGGGUCGCUGCUGCUUUGUUUCUCGUGAAAAGUGUUGUUGCCGCGAUUCUUGAUGCCGCUGUUGAUAUUGUCUGAAAAUAAACAAGGUUGCUACCGCUGCUGUAAAAUUGAAAAUAAACAAAAGAGGAAUUGAUAAGUCUAACUACUGAGCUUUGACUAAAUCGAGGUAGGGGUUUUUCUUAAAA